rnacentral:rRNA from 1 species
CGCUGGCGGCGUGCUUAACACAUGCAAGUCGAACGGAAAGGCCCUGCUUUUGUGGGGUGCUCGAGUGGCGAACGGGUGAGUAACACGUGAGUAACCUGCCCUUGACUUUGGGAUAACUUCAGGAAACUGGGGCUAAUACCGGAUAGGAGCUCCUGCUGCAUGGUGGGGGUUGGAAAGUUUCGGCGGUUGGGGAUGGACUCGCGGCUUAUCAGCUUGUUGGUGGGGUAGUGGCUUACCAAGGCUUUGACGGGUAGCCGGCCUGAGAGGGUGACCGGCCACAUUGGGACUGAGAUACGGCCCAGACUCCUACGGGAGGCAGCAGUGGGGAAUAUUGCACAAUGGGCGGAAGCCUGAUGCAGCAACGCCGCGUGCGGGAUGACGGCCUUCGGGUUGUAAACCGCUUUCGCCUGUGACGAAGCGUGAGUGACGGUAAUGGGUAAAGAAGCACCGGCUAACUACGUGCCAGCAGCCGCGGUGAUACGUAGGGUGCGAGCGUUGUCCGGAUUUAUUGGGCGUAAAGGGCUCGUAGGUGGUUGAUCGCGUCGGAAGUGUAAUCUUGGGGCUUAACCCUGAGCGUGCUUUCGAUACGGGUUGACUUGAGGAAGGUAGGGGAGAAUGGAAUUCCUGGUGGAGCGGUGGAAUGCGCAGAUAUCAGGAGGAACACCAGUGGCGAAGGCGGUUCUCUGGGCCUUUCCUGACGCUGAGGAGCGAAAGCGUGGGGAGCGAACAGGCUUAGAUACCCUGGUAGUCCACGCUGUAAACGGUGGGUACUAGGUGUGGGGUCCAUUCCACGGGUUCCGUGCCGUAGCUAACGCUUUAAGUACCCCGCCUGGGGAGUACGGCCGCAAGGCUAAAACUCAAAGGAAUUGACGGGGCCCCGCACAAGCGGCGGAGCAUGCGGAUUAAUUCGAUGCAACGCGUAGAACCUUACCUGGGUUUGACAUGGAUCGGGAGUGCUCAGAGAUGGGUGUGCCUCUUUUGGGGUCGGUUCACAGGUGGUGCAUGGCUGUCGUCAGCUCGUGUCGUGAGAUGUUGGGUUAAGUCCCGCAACGAGCGCAACCCUUGUUCACUGUUGCCAGCACGUUAUGGUGGGGACUCAGUGGAGACCGCCGGGGUCAACUCGGAGGAAGGUGGGGAUGACGUCAAGUCAUCAUGCCCCUUAUGUCCAGGGCUUCACGCAUGCUACAAUGGCUGGUACAGAGAGUGGCGAGCCUGUGAGGGUGAGCGAAUCUCGGAAAGCCGGUCUCAGUUCGGAUUGGGGUCUGCAACUCGACCUCAUGAAGUCGGAGUCGCUAGUAAUCGCAGAUCAGCAACGCUGCGGUGAAUACGUUCCCGGGGCUUGUACACACCGCCCGUCAAGUCAUGAAAGUUGGUAACACCCGAAGCCGGUGGCCUAACCGUUGUGGGGGAGCCGUCGAAGGUGGGACUGGUGAUUAGGACUAAGUCGUAACAAGGUAGCCGUACCGGAAGGUGCGGCUG